CCGACGGUGAGGGGUGAAAGCUGGGGGCACGAACCGGAUUAGAUACCCGGGUAGUCCCAGCCGUAAACGAUGCUCGCUAGGUGUCUGGGAUGGUGCGACCGUUUCAGGUGCCGCAGGGAAGCCGUGAAGCGAGCCACCUGGGAAGUACGGCCGCAAGGCUGAAACUUAAAGGAAUUGGCGGGGGAGCACUACAACGGGUGGAGCCUGCGGUUUAAUCGGACUCAACGCCGGAAAUCUCACCGGAUAA
rnacentral:rRNA from 1 species